CUUAGAUUCAAUAGUCUUACAUGAAGAAUUGGUUGGGGAAACCCUAAAACAUGCACCCCAAAACCAGGCGGAACACGCUAUAAGCAUGAUUAAGGAACCAAUUGCUAAGAGGGUAAUUCCAGCAGAUCCGGAAAUAUCACUAUCAGGGACACAGGAG